CGUGCCCUAGCUUUUCCCUGCCUCGCCGAACUUCCUUUUACCCGAGCCCUCUCCUCUCGCGACCAUCUUCUCCCCAAAUCCACCGCCGGCUCUCCUCUUCUCCGCCGAGCCAUUGCCACCGGUCUCCUUUCUUCCUUGCGCGGGAGCACCACAGCAGCCGGCGAUUUCUCUCUUCCUCACGCGAGCACCAGCUGAUCUCCCUCUCGCAAUUUUCCCGAGCCGCAAAAAUCGCCGGCCUCUCCUCCUCCUCGCACGGGCACCACAGCCGGCGGUCUUUCCCUCUCGAGCUACAGCCGCCUGCUCUCCUCCUUCCCAAGCCCUCACGCGACGCUGCCCAAAUCCAUCGCCGAGCCACAGUCGCCGACCCCUCUUCCUCACACUGACGGUGCCCUAACUGAUCCAGCGAGUAGAUUCCCGUCGACGUUGAUUGAGACGGUUGACGUGACAAGACGUGAUUUGGUUCAUACUACAAUAAAGACGGUCGAGAGAGUCGUUGACCAAGGACGCAUCAUCGACCACUCGACAGAGUGGUAGCUAGAGUUGAUGCCGCUGGUCUGUUGUGCCACAUUCGACCACUUGUGGGUAGUGGUAGCUGGAGUUGCGAACAGCAGGGACCCCCUUCGCUGUGUAGCUAGGUAGCUACUCAGUACCUACCCACUCGGUCACUUGAGAGGAGUGGCGGCCUUUGAGUGGUACAGUUGUCAUUGAUCCGGUCUCUCGAUCAUACAGGGGUCGUGGUGCAGUGAGGUGGGCGGGGUGACCAUCCGUGCAUACGCUGUUAUUAUACUUGCUUUAGCUGCUGCUGUUUUACAAAUGCUGUUAUUGCUUACCUGUUGUUGUUCACAUAUGCUGAUAUGCUUACUUAUGUUGAGAUAUACUCUCAUUGUAGGUGUUUAGUCAUUGGUUUAUUUAUUGGAAAUGUUUAUAUACCUUACAUAUUACCUCUGUAGUUAUGAGCAGUACUGUAGUAGAUUUGUACUACUUUUGACCUUCUAUUGUUAGCUUAGGAUAUGACUUCAGGUAUGGACAUUUAUUAUGGCUUUAUUUUAGUAUCUGCUACUUCCCUUAUGAGACUAUAUUUCUUUUGGCAUUCUCUAUUUAUAUGUUAUGUUUAUGCAUUAUCUUUUCUUGCCCGCUGAAUUCCAAUACUCACCACCUCGGAAACUGGUUUUCUU